rnacentral:lncRNA from 1 species
UUAUGUGGAUGCACCGAAAAAUAGCAUAAGUUGUUUGUUGCUAUUUUAUUUUGUCAUUUUCUGCAGUUUUAGCAAGUCGAAUUUAUUCGGUGUAAGUAAACGUCAAUUUUUCCACUUGCGCUGUGCGAAAUGCGAGGCCAGGGAACCGGCAAUCAUAAUUCCCGCCAUCCAGAUAGGAAGUUGGAAAGGAACGAACUGAUUGGCUAUUUAUAUUUUGGUGUUUUUUUGGCGGGUUAGCAUUGGGUUAGCACGGUUUUUUAGGUUAUGUAUGAAAUAUUGAAAUUAUUAUGGUACUUAAUUAAAAUUGUUAUCACAGGAAGAAGCAAUCUCAUCUUUUGACUUUACUUUUCUUCUUUAAAAAUUGUUUGACAACCAAUUCUCACCUUCCUUUUAAUUGCCAUUCAGUUCAGUCGCUACGUUUGAUAUAUUAUGGCAUCAGAAGAAGCAAUUACUCAAGCAUUUGAUGAUGCCAUUGAGUGGGUUUUUAAAUCUUCAGAUUUGGUUUCAGAAUAUUUCGAAGGAGAUGAAAAAAAAUCAGAUUCUUUCUGAGCUGGGAAACACGGUGGAAAGAACUUUGUGCCACUGAUAAGCAAUUCAAAGUCACAUGUAAAUGUCUUUCCAAACUGGAAGAAACCGAGGGUCAUUGUACAUAUAAUGAGCUGAAAACAGUGAGGAUUUUUUCUUGUUUUUUAUUUAUGAAAUCUAAUCCUUGAGUGCAAAGAAAAUUACUAAGAUUUUUAAACUGCGAACUUGUGGUGUAGUUACCUGCAAGGCCUAGGUGUAAAGCUCAGUGAAUCAGAUCUUCAAUAUCAGUUCCUGAUCUUGAUUCGGAAAUUCUAUAACAGAAAGAAAAAGAUUUUAUCAAUGAGAUAUUGCAUCAAAAAUCAAUGUUCUUAAAUGAUAUAAAAGUCAUACAACACUACUAGAAAAAAUUGAAACAGUCAUCAUUAGA